GAUGAACGCUGGCGGCGUGCCUAAUACAUGCAAGUCGAGCGAACAGACGAGGAGCUUGCUCCUCUGACGUUAGCGGCGGACGGGUGAGUAACACGUGGAUAACCUACCUAUAAGACUGGGAUAACUUCGGGAAACCGGCGCUAAUACCGGAUAAUAUAUUGAACCGCAUGGUUCAAUAGUGAAAGACGGUUUUGCUGUCACUUAUAGAUGGAUCCGCGCCGCAUUAGCUAGUUGGUAAGGUAACGGCUUACCAAGGCGACGAUGCGUAGCCGACCUGAGAGAGUGGUCGGCCACACUGGAACUGAGACACGGUCCAGACUCCUACGGGAGGCAGCAGUAGGGAAUCUUCCGCAAUGGGCGAAAGCCUGACGGAGCAACGCCGCGUGAGUGAUGAAGGCCUUCGGAUCGUAAAACUCUGUUAUUAGGGAAGAACAAAUGUGUAAGUAACUAUGCACGUCUUGACGGUACCUAAUCAGAAAGCCACGGCUAACUACGUG
rnacentral:rRNA from 1 species